GAGUAUCAUGCCCUCACGGGUAGAUCUCCACCCUUGAAUAACAUACCUUUGUUGCUUUGGCAGGACGCACUCGUGCCAGGGGCUUCGGCUCUUGAGUGCCUGCCAGAGGACCCAAACUCUUGUUUUACCAGUGGUAUCUUCUGAGUAAUUUUAUAAAUAAAUCAAAACUUUCAACAACGGAUCUCUUGGUUCU
rnacentral:misc_RNA from 1 species